rnacentral:rRNA from 1 species
ACUCUCGGCAACGGAUAUCUCGGCUCUUGCAUCGAUGAAGAACGUAGCGAAAUGCGAUACUUGGUGUGAAUUGCAGAAUCCCGUGAACCAUCGAGUCUUUGAACGCAAGUUGCGCCCAAAGCCAUCAGGUUGAGGGCACGUCUGCCUGGGCGUCACGC